AUUGAACGCUGGCGGCAUGCUUUACACAUGCAAGUCGAACGGCAGCGGGGUAGUGCUUGCACUACUGCCGGCGAGUGGCGAACGGGUGAGUAAUAUAUCGGAACGUACCGAGUAAUGGGGGAUAACCAAUCGGAAGAUUGGCUAAUACCGCAUACGUCCUGAGGGAGAAAGCGGGGGAUCGCAAGACCUCGCGUUAUUCGAGCGGCCGAUAAUUGAUUAGCUAGUUGGUGGGGUAAAGGCCUACCAAGGCGACGAUCAGUAGCGGGUCUGAGAGGACGAUCCGCCACACUGGGACUGAGACACGGCCCAGACUCCUACGGGAGGCAGCAGUGGGGAAUUUUGGACAAUGGGGGCAACCCUGAUCCAGCCACGCCGCGUGUAUGAAGAAGGCCUUCGGGUUGUAAAGUACUUUUGUUAGGGAAGAAAAGGGAAGUGCUAAUACCACUUUUUGCUGACGGUACCUAAAGAAUAAGCACCGGCUAACUACGUG
rnacentral:rRNA from 1 species